UAAUAGCACAGAGGGGACUAGCUAACAGUCGUGGGUCGUGGGUAGAAUGUCGUGGGUCGUGGGUAGAAUGUCGUGGGUCGUGGGUAAAAAGUCGUGGGUCGUGGGUAAAAAGUCGUAAGUCGUGGGUAAAAAGGCGUGGGUCGUGGGUAAAAAGGCGUGUGUCAUGGGUGAAAAGGCAUGUGUCGUGGGUAAAAAGGCGUGUGUCGUGUGUAAAAAGGCGUGUGUCGUGGGUAAAAAGUCGUGGGUAAAAAGGCGUGGGUCGUGGGUAAAAAGGCGUGGGUCGUGGGUAAAAAGGCGUGGGUAAAAAAUCGUGGGUCGCGAAUAAAAA